GUUGACUUGCUGGUUUACACGCUGAUGUGUCCAAGAAAAUAAAAAACGGGUGUAGUCUUUUGAAUCGGUCCCAAAUGCAUCACACCCGAAUACAAUUUCACUCUCACCUCAAACCCUACCACUAUUUUCCCCUCACAGCUACCUCGCCCGAAAUGCAAAAAACCUCUCACGAAUCAUCUCAUGCGAGGAGAUCUAAGGCUACAAGAUUGAAGCCCACCGUACGCAGCAGAAUCGACCGUCGCUGAGUCCUUCUUCUCCGGCAAAAUCUCAGCUGUAGGGGUUCCAGCCUCGACUUGAUUUCGACAAAUUUCAAUUUCGCCUCUCCACUUGCCGAUCAUUUGCAGGACCCUAAAGGCGUGUUUCUUAUACUUUAUGUGAUUGAAGCAAUUAUAAAAAUAUUAAUAUUUUUUGCAUAUCGUAGCUUGAUGCGUUGAUUUGGCUCGUUGAAUCCGAAGGGUGAGAGGGAAAGAGCUCUUAAAAAGCAGCUGGAGAAAAACUACAACAAAAUAAAGUAAGUUGUUCAUGACUUUGUACCAAGAUUGUUCCUUUCGCAGUUUCCAUGCCUCAAGUAAGGGAUGGAGGGGUGGCGUGGGGAGCGGGAAGUGGGAGAAAGUGAUGAUUAGAGUAUUAUUGUGAUCUUCGAUUUUGGGGUUUUUGAUUUUGUUUGGUAAUUUUUCACAAAAAAUUGAAUGACGAAGGUCACUUUUUCCAAAAUAGACUAUAGAUCUCGUGAUAUUG
rnacentral:lncRNA from 1 species